UCUCCCGCUCCCUCCGGAAGUCACAGCCGGCGAGGCGGGGAAGGCGGGGCGGCUGACACGGCAUCUUGAGCGUGGCGCCCGGCCCGGCUCCUGCGGGCCGCCAUCUUGAGCGUGGCGUGAAGACCCUCUCCGCCUCUAGCAGAGUGCCGGGCUCCUGCGGUAGUGGCUGCGAUGAACUGAGCAUGUCCAAAUCUCCCCAAAGAGCCACAGCCUAAUAGACACACUUUUAAUAAUGUAUCGAAACCGUGGAAAGUCGUGUCUGGGGUUUAAAGGAUUCCCCUUUACUCUUAGGCGAUUACACCACAAGGGCCACAGUGACCCCCAAACAGUUUCGUCCCAGGCAGUGACAUAGAUCAAGGUCCAUGUGAAGGACCACUCUUUGAAAUAGACACGGGCAGAAGACUAUUCUCCUUGUUAAUGCUGCUCUUAUUAGAAACGAUCAGCUCGGGUGGGGAGAAUCGACGGGUCCUCGCUCGGGCGGCCACUACUCCCAAUAGCGACUCAGAUAACGAGGAAAGCGCGGCGUUGUUCGCUAACUGCGGGUUCAAAGGUUGGUCUUGAGUCCUCACCAACUUACAGAUAAUACACCGUCUGUUGCUUCAACAGUCGCACUGCUCUGUCUAGCCGACAUCAGCAGUUAGGGUGAGGGGUAAAAAGGGUCUUAGCGGAUACUAGGUUCUGUUCCUCACGUCGAGACAUCACUUUGAUUCCUCAAUUUUGUGUUUGCUCAUUGUUUUUAGGGGGUUUUGGCUAGGUUUUGUGAGGGGUUUCUCCCGUUGCAUGCUGGAUCCGAUGUCAUUUGCAUGCCGGCUCGAUGCCCCUUCCUCUUCACCGUCUGGGUGCCAUCUUCCCGGAAGCAGCAGGGCGACGCCCAGGUAAGGGCGUCGACCAGCAGCUGCCCCUGCCACCUGGACCGGUCUUUGCGGGCCCCCCCCAGCACGGCCGGGACCCGCGCCGAGGCGAGGGGGCGCCCCGCCGCUCCCGGGGCGGGUCCCCGCUCCCGGGACACCCCUGGGGCACCCCCGCGGAGCUUCCCCGGUGCGGCUGGGACCCGCGCUUGAGGGGGGGGCGCCCCGCAGCUCCCGGGGAGGGUCCUCACCCCUGGGACAUCGCCCACGGGGCUCCCCCGGCACGGCUGGGACCCGCGCUGAGGGAGGGGCGCCUCGCCGCUCCCGCGGCACCCUCGGACUACUCCCGGCACGGGCGGGCCCGCGCCGAAAGGUGUGCGUGGAGGCCCGCCGCUCCCGGGCGGGCAGGCAGCGGCGGGCCGGCUCGGGGCACUACAGCUCUACUGGAAAAGGAGUGGCCCCCCAGAUCUGAGCCAAAUGACAAUUUCGUUUACAAAGUAAAUUUGCAAGGCUUGGAGUGACAGGUCUUUCUAUCCAUCUACAAAAAGAAACAAGGUGAUUUUUGAGGAAGAGACAAAAGAUGAAAGGUUAUCCAGAGAUCAUCUGAUUUCAGCACGAGACAGAAGAGAUUGUGGAAGCUGCAGGGAGAUUUUUUAACUGCCUUGCCAGAAGAAAGGUUUUUCCAUUAAGAGUUACAGCAUGGAGAUUUUUAAAGCUGUGUUGCCAGAAGCAAAUGGUUUGAAUUUAAAUGUGUGGCAUUGAGUUCAACAUUUUCUCUUUUCUCUGUUCAUUAAUUUCCUCUUAUAUUCCUAAGGAGCUACCAUGUAUUACAGUACUUUUCACAGGAAUUCAGGUAAUGUGAUUUUAAGCUUUAUGUGGAUUCUUUUUCUGGUCAAUUCAUUAACACUUAAAAGUUUCUGCAGUUUGAAGGAGCAAGAAAGUCCUUAGUCAGGCUGACUAAACCUGGUGAUACAUGGCUCAAAUUUUAAAAACCUGGCAAGAAUGACAACCUUUCUUGGUCCACCCUUGAUUAGAAUCAUCCUAUUCUGAUUUUUCUGCAAGUGCUUUCUGCCACACUGUUUGCAAACUGUGAAGUUUGCAAACUUCAUACCAUACCUAACAUACCACAUAUUGCUGUCUAUCUGUGUGAUAACCAUGGUUUUCUGUUGUUUUCAUCCACAAAGGCUGCAUCUGGGCACGCAAAAGCUCCUUUGUGGGUACAGUAAAAUGUAACCUUUGGAAAAAGCUGAUGGGCUGAUACUGUGCAAUGUAGUCUGAAUUGUAUUGAUAGAGUUUGUAUCAUUUGAACAAAAGAAAAUAGCUAAUUUUACAAAUCAUCAAGGGUUUUAAAUCCUGGUGAUAAUCCCUUCAGACACCACCAGUAAGUAUUAAAAGAAGGAGAAAAAAUAGCUAAGUGCCAGCUUUGUUGCUUGGAUAGUGACUGCAUUCCAGUUAAUCCAUCCUUAAAGUAAGUUGAUUGAUCAUAUUAAAAAACGUUAAAAACAUUUUUUAACGUUAACUUCCUAAGGAAUUAAAUUUUUGCAAUUCAAACUGUCCCAAACCAGAGAUACAGACUCCAACUGUGAACUAUGGAAACAAGAAGAAAGCUUUAAUUUUGAGCAUAAAAACAAGUUAAUCUGUGAAGUUGCACCAAACACAGUUCUGUACCAUUCAGCUUGCUAUAUGAUCUACCACCUUGCAAAGAAAACCUGUAAGCUCUUUUAAUUGAUCUCCUCAGACUGGCCAGACUCAGCUAAUAUAUUCUUCACUUUAAAUAAUCUUACCAUUGGCGGCAGGUUUUGAUAGACUAGUUAGUGUAUGCAACAGCCAUACACUGAGUUUGGUUAGAACCAAGUCUUGGAGAUACAUCACCUGUGUCCUGUUUGCCAGUUUGCCAAACCAAACAAGACAAAAAUGGCAAAGUUCCACGUUUUAUCCCAGAAAUUCACAACUCCAUGACUGAGCUCUCCAGACGAACCUCAGUUGUGUCAUUAAAUGUGGCUAGAGGAAGGCUCACUUGGCAGUCUUUGGGAGUACCACAAUUCCUGUAUUUGUAACUGUCUCCAUUUUUAAUACUGAUGUUUUCCUGUGUGGAGAUUUCUUGUCAUACUCGUGAUUUUUUCUAAACAUCCACAGCUAAAGCUCCUGUUUCCUGCCGCAGUCCUGAUCUGCAGAUGCUGCUUGUGUCCCAUCAUUCAGAUGUUGUUUGCACAGGGCACUGCUAUCAUGUUUAUUCCUGCUUGGCAGCUCAGCACCACACAGCCACUCACUCACUUCCUAGCCCUGGGGGAGAGAAUCAGAAAAGUAAAAACACUGGUGGGUUGAGAUAAAAGCAGUUUAACUAAAUUAAAACAAAACAAAACCAAAACCAAAACCAACCAAACAAAAAACCCAAACCAAACCAAACCAAAAAAAACCACAAAGAAGACGGAGAAAAAAACCCUUGAAACCCAAGAAAAACAACAAACUGAUGCCCAGCCAGUUUCUGAGCCAAAGGAGCUCCUGCCAACCUCCAUCCCCAUGGUUUGAUUGCUGAGCAUGGCAUCACAUGCUGUGGGAAAUCCCUCUGGUCACUGGGGGUCAGUUGCUCCGCUGUGUCCCCUCACAGCCUCCUGUGCACCCCCAGCUCGCUGGGACAUGCUGGCAGGGCAGUGUGCAGAGGAGAGAAGACUUUGGUUCACAUUUCCAGCUGCCCAAGGCCUCAUUGUCCACCUCAUGGCCUUUUGCCCAAAGCCAUGAGCAGGCAGCUGAUGGACACAACUUUGGCCAGCAGUGGCUCUGUCUUGGAGCUGGCUGGAUCAGGCUCUGGCCAAAAUGAGGGUAGCUGCUGCUCACAGAAGCUGCCUUCCCACUUAAAAUCCUUGCCAUAAAAACCCAGCCCAUGACCCCGGAGAAACCCCACAGAAAUGCAGACAGUUUCUCCUUCCCAAAGGGCAGAUGCCCUGGAGAGGCUGUCAGGCCCUGGGACAGAGCAGCUGCUGGGACAUAGGGCAAGAGAUCUUCUCUGUUUGUCAGUGCUCCUGCUCCAUGGCCUUGGUGAUGAGCUCAAUGGAGAGGUAGCUGUUCUAGUCACAAGCAUGCACAGACUCCUGGAUGCCCCCCCGUCGUAAUUACAGAGAUGUUCCACAUGAAAUGAUGUAGAAGAUGUAACUCGUGACACCUCUUCCCAUUUUAAAACUGCAGUGCUUUCUUGAGUGCACACUGUCUGUGCUGGGCAGCUGUGUGGAAAAACUGCAGGAAAACAUGAGGUCUUCUGCCCCUUGGUGGUCAUCACUCCAGCAGGGUCCUGUGGGAAUUUUUUACCCAUUCAAGAGGGCUCUGUUGGUGCUGUUAUGCACAUUUUGACAAUGUUUGGGGAGAAAGUAUUAACUAAGUGGUGCUGGCAGAAACUGGGAAAGCACAGCCAGCAGAUGAGAGGGUCCAGGUGUCACAGAGGACAAGGGUCCUUGACCCUGAGAUUUGAGAGCAACUCAACAAAGCAAGGGCAGCCUUACAUUCCAGAGGCCAUCAACAUGGACAUUGCAAACGAGUCCUUCUUUGGGAAAGCCAGACAGAAAGAUUGGAGGCAUGAAACAAAAUUAUGAAAGACCACCACAUGGCUCUGAGAGACAGCUGGGACUCCUGGAGACAGCAGCAGAUGCAUGUCUGGUUCAGACAGGGAAGACUGAGCCUGCUGUGGUAGAGAGGCUUCAUCCAGAAUAUCAGAGAAGUGAUUCCCAAAUAACCACCUUGACAUAGUAUAAUAGAACAUCCCACAACGUCACAGACCUUGGCAAGGACUGGGAUUUUGGACAGCCAUAAGAAAUUCUCCCUAAUUACUUUCUUUUUUUUCUAAACAAGAAUUUGGAAAGCCCAUCUCCUCUCUUCCUGCCUCAGGACUUCACAUGCUUCAUUGUAGCUACUACUUCCAUAAAUAUCCAAUUCAUGGAUCUCCCUUAUUUAAGUCUUCCUAUAAGCAAGGAUUAAGUAUAAUAACAAAGUUACAUUAAAUUGCAGAAAGUAAUAAUCAAGACAGAGCCUCUUUCUUGCUACUCUGUGUAAAAUUUUAAAUAAUGAAAUAAACAUGAUAUUUGAAAAUUGUUUAUUUUAAAUGGCAUUCUGA